CCCGCUGAACUUAAGCAUAUCAAUAAGCGGAGGAAAAGAAACUAACAAGGAUUCCCCUAGUAACUGCGAGUGAAGCGGGAAAAGCUCAAAUUUAAAAUCUGGUGGCCUUUGGCCAUCCGAGUUGUAAUUUAGAGAAGCGUCUUCCGCGCUGGACCGUGUACAAGUCUCCUGGAACGGAGCGUCAUAGAGGGUGAGAAUCCCGUCUUUGACACGGACUACCAGGGCUUAUGUGAUGUGCUCUCAAAGAGUCGAGUUGUUUGGGAAUGCAGCUCUAAAUGGGUGGUAAAUUCCAUCUAAAGCUAAAUAUUGGCGAGAGACCGAUAGCGAACAAGUACCGUGAGGGAAAGAUGAAAAGCACUUUGGAAAGAGAGUGAAACAGUACGUGAAAUUGUUGAAAGGGAAACGCUUGAAGUCAGUCGCGUCGUCCGAGACUCAGCCUCGCCUCGGCUUGGUGUACUUCUCGGACGACGGGUCAGCAUCAAUUUUGCCCCUUGGAUAAUGGCGAGGGAAAUGUGACACCUUUGCGGGUGUGUUAUAGUCUCUAGUCGCAUGCAAGGGUCGGGAUUGAGGAACUCAGCACGCGCCUUCGGGCGUCGGGGUUCGCCCACGAUACGUGCUUAGGAUGUUGGCGUAAUGGCUUUAAACGACCCGUCUUGAAACACGG
rnacentral:rRNA from 1 species